rnacentral:rRNA from 1 species
UUGAACGCUGGCGGCAUGCCUUACACAUGCAAGUCGAACGGUAACAGGUCUUCGGAUGCUGACGAGUGGCGAACGGGUGAGUAAUACAUCGGAACGUGCCCGAUCGUGGGGGAUAACGCAGCGAAAGCUGUGCUAAUACCGCAUACGAUCUACGGAUGAAAGCGGGGGAUCGCAAGACCUCGCGCGGACGGAGCGGCCGAUGGCAGAUUAGGUAGUUGGUGGGAUAAAAGCUUACCAAGCCGACGAUCUGUAGCUGGUCUGAGAGGACGACCAGCCACACUGGGACUGAGACACGGCCCAGACUCCUACGGGAGGCAGCAGUGGGGAAUUUUGGACAAUGGGCGAAAGCCUGAUCCAGCCAUGCCGCGUGCGGGAAGAAGGCCUUCGGGUUGUAAACCGCUUUUGUCAGGGAAGAAAUCCUUUGAGCUAAUACCUCAGAGGGAUGACGGUACCUGAAGAAUAAGCACCGGCUAACUACGU